rnacentral:rRNA from 1 species
CNUCAACACGGGAAAAGCUNUCCAGGUCCCAGACAUAGUAAGGAUUGACAGAUUGAGAGCUCUUUCUUGAUUCUAUGGGUGGUGGUGCAUGNCUGUUCUUAGUUGGUGGGUUGCCUUGUCAGGUUGAUUCCGGUAACGAACGAGACCUCAGCCGCUAAAUAGUCACGAUUGCUCCUUGCAGUCGGCAGACUUCUUAGAGGGACUAUUGGCGUUUAGCUAAUGGAAGUAUGAGGCAAUAACAGGUCUGUGAUGCCCUUAGAUGUUUUGGGCCNCACGCGCGCUACACUGACGCAUUCAACGAGCCUAUCCUUGGCCGAAAGGCCCGGGUAAUCUUUGAAACUGCGUCGUGAUGGGGAUAGAUUAUUGCAAUUAUUAGUCAANAACGAGGAAUGCCU